UAAAGAGUUCUAUAACUCCCAAACCCAUGUGAACAUACCUAACGUUGCCUCGGCAGGUCGCACCUACCUUGUAGCACCCUACCCUGUAGGGCCUACCCGGGAGGUGCGGGUAAGCCUGCCGGCGGCCCACCAAACUCUGUUUGAUAUUGAAUUCUGAACCUAUAACUAAAUAAGUUAAAACUUUCAACAACGGAUCUCUUGGUUCUGGCAUCGAUGAAGAACGCAGCGAAAUGCGAUAAGUAAUGUGAAUUGCAGAAUUCAGUGAAUCAUCGAAUCUUUGAACGCAUAUUGCGCCCAUUAGUAUUCUAGUGGGCAGGACCGUUCGAGCGUCAUUUCAACCCUUAAGCCUUCGUUGCUUAGUGUUGGGAGCCUACGGCAACGUAGCUCCUCAAAGUUAGUGGCGGAGUUGGUUCACACUCUAGACGUAGUAAUUUUUUAUCUCGCCUAUUAGUUGGACUAAUCCCCUGCCGUAAAACCCCCAAUUUAUCAAGGUUGACCUCGAAUCGGUUCAGACAAACUCGCUAAAUUGAAGCAUCUUAGUCAGCGAAGGAAAAGAAACCAACAGGGAUUGCCCUAGUAACGGCGAGUGAAGCGGCAACAGCUCAAAUUUGAAAUCUGGCCCUCGGGUCC
rnacentral:rRNA from 1 species